UUCCCAAAGGGGGCCAAGCCCUGAGGCAGCCAUGCCGGAGGGUUGAAGAAGGCCUUCGGAUAGUAAAGCACUUUCAGCGGGGAGGAAGGCGAUAAGCUUAAUACCCUCAUCGAUUGACGUUACCCGCAGAAGAAGCACCGGUUAACUCCGUGCCAGCAGCCGCUGUAAUACGGAGGGUGCAAGCGUUAAUUCGAAUUACUGGGAGUAAAGCGCACGCAGGCGGUAUGUCAAGUUGGAUGUGAAAUCCCCGGGCUCAACCUGGGAACUGCAUUCGAAACUGGCAGGCUAGAGUCUUGUAGAGGGGGGUAGAAUUCCAGGUGUAGCGGUGAAAUGCGUAGAGAUAUGGAGGAAUACCGGUGGCGAAGGCGGCCCCCUGGACAAAGACUGACGCUCAGGUGCGAAAGCGUGGCGAGCAAACAGGAUUAGAUACCCUGGUAGUCCACGCUGUAAACGAUGUCGAUUUGGAGGUUGUGCCCAUGAGGCGUGGCUUCCGGAGCUAACGCGUUAAAUCGACCGCCUGGGGAGUACGGCCGCAAGGUUAAAACCCAAAUGAAUUGACGGGGGCCCGCACAAGCGGUGGAGCAUGUGGUUUAAUUCGAUGCAACGCGAAGAACCUUACCUGGUCUUGACAUCCACAGAACUUAGCAGAGAUGGUUUGGUGCCUUCGGGAACUGUGAGACAGGUGCUGCAUGGCUGUCGUCAGCUCGUGUUGUGAAAUGUUGGGUUAAGUCCCGCAACGAGCGCAACCCUUAUCCUUUGUUGCCGGCGGUUAGGCCGGGAACUCAAAGGAGACUGCCAGUGAUAAACUGGAGGAAGGUGGGGAUGACGUCAAGUCAUCAUGGCCCUUACGACCAGGGCUACACACGUGCUACAAUGGCAUAUACAAAGAGAAGCGACCUCGCGAGAGCAAGCGGACCUCAUAAAGUAUGUCGUAGUCCGGAUUGGAGUCUGCAACUCGACUCCAUGAAGUCGGAAUCGCUAGUAAUCGUAGAUCAGAAUGCUACGGUGAAUACGUUCCCGGGCCUUGUACACACCGCCCGUCACACCAUGGGAGUGGGUUGCAAAAGAAGUAGGUAGCUUAACCUUCGGGAGGGCGCUUACCACUUUGUGAUUCAUGACUGGGGUGAAGUCGUAAC
rnacentral:rRNA from 1 species